UACGGGGGGGCAAGCGUUGUUCGGAAUUACUGGGCGUAAAGGGCUCGUAGGCGGCCAACUAAGUCAUACGUGAAAUCCCUCGGCUUAACCGGGGAACUGCGUCUGAUACUGGAUGGCUUGAGAUUGGGAGAGGGAUGCGGAAUUCCAGGUGUAGCGGUGAAAUGCGUAGAUAUCAGGAGGAACACCGGUGGCGAAGGCGGAUCUCUGGGCCAUUACUGACGCUGAGGAGCGAAAGCGUGGGGAGCGAACAGG
rnacentral:rRNA from 1 species